rnacentral:lncRNA from 1 species
UACAACACCUACUUAAUUUGCGCAAGUAUUCGAAAAGCCGAAAAGAGUCGUCCACCUCAAACACCUCAAACGGUGGGAACUUAAGUUCGUUGAACGCAUCAUGACCGGUGACACACCAUUUGCAAGACAAGCUGUGAAACCGCUAGUUUGUCGAUGAAUCGACGAGCAAAAAGACCAAAAUACAUCAAAUUAUGAGCUAAGAUAACCAUGCCGCCUACACCAGAAGGAGGGCGCAGUCAGG